UCCUUGGUAGUCCAGUGGUUAGGACUCUGGGCUUUCACUGCUGUGGGCCUAGGCUCGAUCCCUGCUCAGGGAA
rnacentral:tRNA from 1 species